rnacentral:misc_RNA from 1 species
UUUGUACAAGCCAUCCAACUUAUCAAUUUUGUCAGCAGAAUAGCAGCCAUUUUCGGAAUACAGCCCAAGACAUUUUUGUAUACCUUCAUAAUAUCUAUAGUUGUCAGGAUUCAUGGCAAGUAACACCCUGUAUAAUUCAGCGCCCUCUUCAAGGCGACCAAGCUUCACCAGAAGAGAAACUUCUUGUUCUUUGAAUGCCAACUUAUCAACAAUUUUUGACCCUUUCUUGUGCAACUCCUCAAGAGCUCUCUCAAGAGAGCCACAUUCCUCUAAUAAAGAGAUCUUGUAUAAAAGCAUUUCCCCAUGCUCACAUUGUUCAUUGUCUGGAGGAUAAUCAUCCUCCAGUGUCCCUUCAUAUGCUUCCAGAAUUUCAACUGCUUUUGAAGCAUUCGAGUUUAAAUGGUGAGCAACAGCAAAGCCAAUCCAAUUCAUGCGAUGAUUCGGUUUCAGGGUUAAAAGCCGUUGUCUAGUCUCAAUAAAACCUGUUAAAUCACGCAUUUGUGCCUGCAAGAGUGACAAGUCCCGCAGUAUUUCAAUAUUGUCUGGAUCUAUUUUCAAUGCAUUUCGAUAGCAUUUGAUAGCCUCCCUAUAUUCUCUAUCAGACCGAUAAAGGAGACCAUAAACAUGCCAACAAACAUGACUUUUUAGGUCAUUCUUUAAGCCAAGCCGGACAAGAUCAUAUGCUUCAGGUUUACGAUCCAUGCAAUUUAAGGUCAAACCCUUCAUUGAUAAAGUUUCUCCAUGAUCUGGAAACUUUUUUAAAAUAGCAUCUGCUGCCUUCAGCCCCUUCUUGUACUGUUUAGUUUCAUAUGAUUUAACUAUGAGCUUGAAGAGGUUGGCCUCUUUGGGAGGCAGGGAAGCCCCCAUUGUUAAUAAAUGAGAGGUUUUGAUAGAGAAAAUAAAUAGGGCUUAGAACUAUAAAAUUUGCCAGAGAUAUAGAAGGGUUUGGUGAAGGCCUUUUAUGUAUCAGAGAGCUACGAAAUGAUACAGAGAGAGAGAGAGAGAGAGAGGAGAGAA